rnacentral:rRNA from 1 species
AACGAACGCUGGCGGCAGGCUUAACACAUGCAAGUCGAACGAGAACGGUUCUUCGGAACUUAGUAGAGUGGCGCACGGGUGAGUAACGCGUGGGAAUCUACCCAAUAGUAUGGAAUAGCUCCGGGAAACUGGAAUUAAUACCAUAUACGCCCUUCGGGGGAAAGAUUUAUCGCUAUUGGAUGAGCCCGCGUGACAUUAGCUAGUUGGUAAGGUAAUGGCUUACCAAGGCUACGAUGUCUAGCUGGUCUUAGAGGAUGAUCAGCCACACUGGAACUGAGACACGGUCCAG